rnacentral:lncRNA from 10 species
CCAGAUUUAGCUUCACACACGUGGCAGGGCCUUUUAAACCCCGUCCGAAGGAGCCUGGACCGGUUGCUCUGAGAGAGGUCCAUUCUGCCCGCUUCCCAGCUCUGCAGCCUUCGGGUUGAGAGGGAGGUGCAGGUGAGUGUGGGCAGGGACCUCCAUGAGCCACGUUUGGCCUGGCACCAGCAUAUCCUGGAUCCUGUUCUUCGCCGUUCCCUUCCCUGUCCUCCUCUGCACGGAGGACAGGGUUUUGCUCCUGGAGCCCUAGGCCGUGUUGGCACAUUUCUCCAGUACCAGGCCCAUACUUCCUUAGAACAAUCAUUCUCAAACUUGUUCACCAGAACAGCCUGAAGUCACCUGCGAAAACACAGAUUACUGGGUCCCACCCCAGAGUUUCUCAUUCAUGAGGUCUGGGGGUGGGCCUGAAAAACUGCAUUUCUAACACAUUCCCAAGUGAGGCUGGGCCCCACCUUGAGAACCACUGGCUUGAGCGUGAGGGCUGACACAGCCCUGCCCAAAGCCACCCCCCAGCUGCCACCAGAGGGCACAUGCAACCUGAGCCAGAGGUCUUGUUUCACCUCCAGCUGCCAGCUCCCCGCCUGCCACCCAGCAGAGGUUC